UGUCUCCCUGUACAAUUCUGGUCUUGGCUUAUAAGUAGAGACAAAUGAGGGACCCUAAAGGUAUGAAUAAAUCUAAGCAUUUCCUAUAUUCUGUCUGUUCUCGAUUUCUAACUUGAGCAUUGGAGGGUCUUCAUGGGAGCCACCCCCAAUCAGAGACUUCUUUUAUAGGUCCGAUCGCUACUAUCCUCAUCGGACCUCAAUCUACUCUAGCCACUUCGAUCCAAGUCGGAAGUCUACAAAAUAGGUUGGUGUUAGAGGAAGGACAGUGGCCC
rnacentral:lncRNA from 1 species